rnacentral:lncRNA from 1 species
GGGACUGGCUGGAGUGUGGCGGGCUGACAGGUCUGAGGCCUGAAGGACUUCCGGGAACCGCAAAGCACGGUGUGCCUCCGCUGUCCUGAAGAAAAAGCCGCGCGCGGACGACUGGCCGGCCCGCGCUUGCAGCUCCCAGAAGUUGACAGGCAUCCUCCGGUGACCGGUGUGAGUAUGGCAUCAGGAUGAUUUGACUGCAAGCAACAGAAAAAUCAAACAAAAAUGGCCUAAGCCAAGAAGAGAAAUGAUUAUUUCACAUUCCAAGAAGUUUGGGAGUCGAGUGGUUAAACGGCUAAUUAAUCUAGAGCUCAACAGUAUCACCCAGGACCCAUUUUCACUAUGGUGGCUAAAGCUCUGCACCCUUCAGGCUUGCACCAUGGCAGCAGCAGUGACAGUAAAGACACCCUUACACCACAAUGCUCCAUGACCAGGGAGAGGGUCUCCUCUCUCCUGCCCCUUUCUGGAGGCUCCACCGAAGAUUUCUCUUCACAUUCCGUUUCUCAUUCCUGAAGCAGUUGCUGGCAACAGGGAUGGACUUACCGCAAUGGGUACAGAGCAACUAAGAUUCACCACUAGAUCUGCAUUGUAAGAAAAAUGAGAAGAAUUCCUUCAGGAAGAAGAAAAAUGAUACCAGAUGGAUAUGUGGAUCCACAUAAAGGAACGAAGAGCACAGGAAAUAGUAACUAUACUGUCUUGCUCUGUCACCCAGGCUGGAGUGUGGUGGUGCGAUCUUGGCUCACUGCUAGACUGGUUGGAUCCAGCCUAUGUGGUGAAUUUUAUUAGUGGAUUGCCCAAUGAUAAAUAAGGUUUCCUUCGUCAGUCCAGGCAGGACUGUGCGGUUGGAAAAGGGACGGAUGCUGGUCCUGGAAGGGGCGUCGUUAUCUAGAAGCUCCCAACCUAAGUGGGUGACUCAUAGGGAGGGCAAGGAGAGAAGGACACAGCAAGCAACUUACAUGUAAAACAAGACGUGUGGGUUAUUAUGGAAGAAAUUCACAACCAAACUUGGGGUUAGCCCGUAUUGUUUUCCAAGAACUCUAUGUGGACAGUGACAAAAAACAGACCUAAGAACUAGCAGACUGGGCAAAGCUUUUUCACAUAACAACAACAAAAAAAGCAAUUCCUCAGGAAAAAAUGGUCAAUGGGUCAUUGUGUGUAGACAAAACUACAAGUUCUGCUCCAGACUCUGGGGAAACCAUGCUGCCAUCUUCAAGCUGUGGCCAUUCUGUAAUACAGACUACGCUAAAUCACAUGUUGUCAUCAAGGCAGAAUAUUUUGUUCCUUUAUGGGUCAGCCUGGGAUACAAAAUUAGAGAAACUUUGCAAUGAAAAA